GGAGGCUGGGUGUGCGCCGGGCAAGGCUGUCUGCGUCCUAAUCCCCAGAACCUGGGAAUGGGGCAAAAGGGGCUCUGUAGACUUGAUUAAGUUAGGGGUGUUGAGGUGUGAAAUGGUCCUGGAGUAUCCGGCUGGACCCGAGGUGAUCACAAGCAUCCUCGCAGGCCAUCAGGAGGCGGAACGGGGAAGGACGAGAGAGACCGCAGUGUGCGAAGGGCCCCACCCCACACUGCUGGCUUUGACGACGGAGGAAGGCACCAGGAGCCAGGGGAGGUAGAAGCUGGAAAAGGCAGAAAAACAUUCUUUCCCAGACCUCCAGAGAGGAAUGCACUCCUGCUGAACUUUGAUUUUAGCCUGUUUGGGACUUCUGACCUCCAGAAGUGUUAAAAUAAUAAAUUUGUGUUAUUUUAAGCCACGACAUUUGUGAUAAUUUUUUAUAGCAGCCAUGGGAGACUAAUACAGUUAUAAACUCACUUGUGAUGCUUUGGUGUCAUUUUCCGUGCGGGCACGCCCUGGGAACCCUCGUGGACUCACGCACAUCUCGUACACAGCUCUGACAGAGGACCUCCCUCCCCAAGUCCAUAGCAGGACUAUCUGCCUCGAGACAUCCUCGACAACCACAGGAAGUGACUCAGUGCCGGACUUGUUAUGGCUACUGUCCCCUAUCCCAACCGCGGUGACUCUAGCCCUGUAGAACACUCUUCAACCGAGGCACCAUCGCGAGGGCACACACCAAGGCUGCGUAACUGUGACUCCAUCGCUGGGGUGCUUCAUAGCUGCUCCACUGAGCCCAAAGAGGAGCACACUGACCCCCAGAAUGGGGAGGGACGCCCCCGGAGCCCCAGGACUCCUCUCACCCACCAGCUUCCCGCUCUCCCCAGGACCAGUCUGGGGAUGAAUGACAGAUGCUGUGUAGCAACUGAAGGCUCACUCUAACAAGUCAGUGGCUGCAGAGAGAGUGCAAACCCAAGGUCUGGAGCUCUACCCAGUGGUAGAUGCAUUUACUUUUUGCCAGUGCGAUGGCUGAUACAGUAGUUGAAGUCGACAUUUUUAAUAUCACGACAUUCAAAGUUCCAUGAAGAUGGUGUCUGUGUUCCUCAUCCAGCAGCUGAGUGAAUGCUUCAAAACUGAUGACCCCACACCACCCCAAAUCUAAAUCAGGAACUGGUACCAUAAUAAGUGCUCAUGAAACAGCUGAUGAAUGAAUGAACGACCUCACAGAUGCUAUGAUGGUAACUCAGAUUUUUAUGUCUUACAAUGGACACAUACAUCACCUUAUAUGAUCCUUAAAACGAACUGGCAUUACUCUCACAGCCAAACUCAGCGUGUAGAUGUGAUGCAUUCCCCCCAGCAUGGGACACGACACCCGGGGAUGAGCCUCCCUGGCACCGAGGGAUCACUACCACAUACCAGCUGAAGAAGCAACUAGAAAAUGACCUUGAAUUAAAGAUUCAAUGCGGAACAGCAGAAUAUACCUGUCUACAUAUAAUAACAUGACUUCGGGAAGCGGUUUGACCUAAUGUAAGGGGGAAAUGGAAAGGAGAAAUGAGAUUAUAAGGCUGUGAGUCUCUAAAAAAGAGUCUGGAGGUUGUCACAAGGAAUACCCCUAUGUACAACUGAACAGAGUCUAAGAGACAGAUAAGGUAGAUACAACCCCAGGUAUUGGUUCUUUUGAGUCUGCGUGAUGGAAUUGGACUCAGAGGGGAUCUCUUUUCACAAGACUUGCAUGCUACUUUAUUGGAAAUGUAGUUGGUGCUGGGUUUGAGAUAUAUGUAGGGGAUUUGAAUCUCUGGCCUGAUAAUAUGACACCCAGGCCCAGAGCCUCAACAGACUUCAGCUCCUACACUUUGAUUUAUUGGACUUACUCCACUCAGCUAACAUGGAGUUGAAGAAGGUCAACCACCACAACAUGGAGCCUAGAGUGUCUACAACUAGAAGUGGGAGGAGUGCAUCCAGUACCCAUGUGGAAUCUAAGCCCUCACUUGACAUAGGUGUGCAAUGGACACAACCAAUCCAAUGUCCACAGAGAAAAUGUGGAAUGGGUGUGGGAACGGUAGCCAUGGGGGCUGCUGGGUGUGGGGAACGGGAGGAAGAGAUGAGAUGUGGAGGCAUUUUCGGGACGUGAAGUUGUCCUGGAUAGUGCUUCAUGGACAAUUACAGGACACUGUAGAUCCCCCCAGGGCCCACUGG
ensembl:lincRNA